rnacentral:rRNA from 1 species
AUUGAACGCUGGCGGCAUGCCUUACACAUGCAAGUCGAGCGCGAAAGGGGGCAACCCCGAGUAGAGCGGCGGACGGGUGAGUAACACAUCGGAACGUGCCCAGUAGUGGGGGACAACCUCGAGAAAUCGAGGCUAAUACCGCAUACGACCCACGGGUGAAAGCGGGGGACCGCAAGGCCUCGCGCUAUUGGAGCGGCCGAUGUCCGAUUAGCUAGUUGGCGGGGUAAGAGCCCACCAAGGCGACGAUCGGUAGCCGGCCUGAGAGGGUGACCGGCCACACUGGGACUGAGAUACGGCCCAGACUCCUACGGGAGGCAGCAGUGAGGAAUAUUGGGCAAUGGCCGAAAGGCUGACCCAGCAACGCCGCGUGAGGGAUGAAGCUCUAAGGAGUGUAAACCUC